rnacentral:lncRNA from 1 species
UCUGUGCAACUCACACGCUACUAGCCAAGCAAAAUGAAGAUUUAAAAGGCUGACACCAAAGAAGAGAGAAGAGUCAGCAAAAGGCCAACAGUUUAAAUACUCUGUAUAAACCUUUCUUUUCACCGGGGAAGGAGAAGAAAAAAUGGCUGUUAUAGAAGAGAAAUUGAAGAGUCGGUGCAGAGAAUAAGAUAAAAGGAAGCUAUAAAAUCAUGGACACUUCAGGACACAGAGACUGAAGCCUCAUUCUGGGAUUUUGCUGCU